rnacentral:sRNA from 1 species
GCGCCUGUGGGCCGUGGGGGCUGUGUCGGAGCUGAGGUGCAAGGGCUCAGGCGCCAGGUCCAGUUCGGUGUUCAUGGAACACGAGCUGGUGCUGGACGGGGCUGUGGUGAGUGCUAGCUUCGAUGACAGCGUGGACAUGGGCGUUGUGGGCACCACGGCGGGCACGCUCUGGUUUGUCAGCUGGGCCGAGGGCACCAGCACGCGUCUCAUCAGUGGCCACAGGAGCAAGAAACCACAUCAGUCCGGGCGUGGUGGUUCAUGCCUGUAAUCCCAGCACUCUGGGAGGCCGAGGCAGGUGGAUCACCUGAGGUCAGGAGUUCGAGACCAGCCUGGUCAACAUGGUGAAAUCCCAUCUCUACUAAAGAUACAAAAAUUAGCCGGGCCUCUUGAUGUAUACCUGUAAUCCCAGCUACUCUGGAGGCUGAGAGAAGAAAAUCACUUGAACCCAGGAGGCAGAGGUUGCAGUGAACCAAGAUCGCACCACUGCACUCCAGCCUGGGCGACAGAGCGAGACUCCAUCUCAAAG